UCAAACUACACUGACUGAUAAACCGGUUGCUUUAUUACUUGUUUCUACCUUGAGUGGCGAGAUUAAAUUGAAUUUAAAAGACUAGCAUAAGAGGAGAAGGCAUACAGAGAAUAUUUAUGACCGUCGGAGCAGGGCUGGGUUCCUGGAGACGGGAUAACACGUGGCUUUGUGCUGCCAGACAGAGAGUUCCUUUCGGUGGUCACACCAAUGUUUUUUCAUACUCCCACGGACACCACAACUUUUUUGGAUAAGGAAGAAGAUGAUGGAACACAGAUGAGGGAAAGAAAUGGCCUCAGAGAACUUGGAUACGUGGGGUACUGGAACCUGUGAGGCACUGGGAGCUUAGGAGUGUCUUCUGGAGCCUGCUACAGGCUGGAGGCUGCCCAGCAAGUAACAGCAAGCUGUCAGAGGAAGAAGUUGUCAGUGAGUUGUCCAGCGUGUUGUGGAGCAGGAGGACGAUUUGCCAAUGACUGAGUGUCUUCCAGGGAUUCCCCAUCCAAUAGUCAGGGAUCCAUCUUUUCACUUCUGAUCUACUGUAAGUUAUGGAAUCUGGCAAAUAGGAACAAAUGUGGAUGAGCUGGUUUAUGGAACAAUAAACACAGCAUUUUUAGCAGAUGUAUGGAGGCUGGAUUUGAUGGCUUCUGGCACAUCAGGAUCUCACUCAGGAAGCCCCUGAGCGAGGCAGCACCGUGUGAACACGAGGAAGGAACUGAAGAGCACUCCUGAAAACUACCUCCUGGAAUGUAAAAAUUCCGAUCUUCGGGAAAGUAAAGGAACCGCUGUGUGAGAUGAAAAAUGUCAAUAUAUUUGGAGGACAGACUAUUUCAGACUGGUGGUGAACAACUCCAGAGUCAUGCUUUGGUGAACUUCUGCUCCAAGACCUAUAAGGCUGGCAGUACUUCUCUCCAGAUGUACCAUUUGGCACAUUAAACAGUUCUUUUCUUAGAAGGGAAACCUAUGGUUUUGCCAUGUAAUGCAAAACACCAAUGGAAUCACUACAUAAGCAAAAUGCCAGUAAUGGUACAGUGGUCCAGCCACAAACAUUGAAGAGCUGAGGCAGAACAUGGCUGUGACUGUUUGCAGCUGCCCUUGGAGCUGGAGUGGAGGGAGUGCCCCCUGUGCUGCCCGGAGCUCGGCCGUGCUGGUGGAGCGUCAGCGCAAAGGGAUGUGCAAGUCACCCAGUGGAAGGGCAGGCUGAGCUGCCUCCUGGUUCAGCUGGAGAUGAUGGGAGCAGGCAAACACUUCCCUGCACUGCAGUGCCAGCAGAACGGAGCUCAGGACCGUGGCCAACUCCCUCUGCAAGGGCUCCUGGAUCUGCCUCAGCCUGAGGAGAGACACUGGAACAGCCCUGAAGCUUCUGGUCCUGACAGGAGUUGGGAAGUGACAAGAUUUACAUAAACAAGGAAGAAUUAUCUGAAUCUUCUCAGGACUCGUGACAGUGAACUACAGCAAAGCCAGAGCAAAAAGGGUGAAAUGGAGAACUCUUCCCCGGGCAAGAUGAAAUAUUGCUAUUACUGUGGAAUGGAAAUUCCAUCCUGACUCAUCCUGCCUUUAACAGGAACUUCCCCCUCUCCGGCCUGAACUUACCAGCAUAUUCCCUCAGACUUGUUUAGCCUACUUUUAAAUUAUUAC